ACCGCAAACCGACACAGGUGGGUGAGGAGAGUAUCCUAAGGCCAGCGAGAGAACUGUUGUUAAGGAACUCGGCAAAAUGACCCCGUAACUUAGGGAUAAGGGGUGCCACCAUCCGGUGGCCGCAGAGAAUAGGCCCAAGCGACUGUUUACCAAAAACAUAGGUUUCUGCUAAGUCGCAAGACGAUGUAUAGGAGCUGACGCCUGCCCGGUGCUGGAAGGUUAAGGGGAUCUGUUAGAGCAAUCGAAGCAGUGAACUUAAGCCCCAGUAAACGGCGGCCGUAACUAUAACGGUCCUAAGGUAGCGAAAUUCCUUGUCGGGUAAGUUCCGACCCGCACGAAAGGCGUAACGAUUUGGGCACUGUCUCAACAACAGACUCGGUGAAAUUGUAAUUCCGGUGAAGAUGCCGGAUACCUGCGACAGGACGGAAAGACCCCAUGGAGCUUUACUGUAGCUUGACAUUGGGUCUUGGUACUACAUGUACAGGAUAGGUGGGAGGCUUUGAAACCAGGACGCCAGUUUUGGCGGAGCCAUCCUUGGGAUACCACCCUUGUAGUACUGGGACUCUAACCAUAGGCCAUGAAUCUGGUCUUGGGACACUGUCAGGUGGGCAGUUUGACUGGGGCGGUCGCCUCCCAAAAGGUAACGGAGGCGCUCAAAGGUUCUCUCAGUACGGUCGGAAAUCGUACGUAGAGUGUAAAGGCAAAAGAGAGCUUGAUUGCAAGACAUACAGGUCGAGCAAGGAUGAAAAUCGGACUUAGUGAUCCGGUGGUUCUGCGUGGAAGGGCCAUCGCUCAACGGAUAAAAGCUACCCUGGGGAUAACAGGCUUAUCUCCCCCAAGAGUCCACAUCGACGGGGAGGUUUGGCACCUCGAUGUCGGCUCAUCACAUCCUGGGGCUGUAGUAGGUCCCAAGGGUUGGGCUGUUCGCCCAUUAAAGUGGUACGCGAGCUGGGUUCAGAACGUCGUGAGACAGUUCGGUCCCUAUCCGUCGCAGGCGUAGGAAAUUUGAGAAGACCUGUCCUUAGUACGAGAGGACCGGGAUGGACG
rnacentral:rRNA from 1 species